GCAAGGCCUAAGCCGGCGCCGAGAGAGCCAGCCGCGUUACGAUGGAGACCGAAAGUGGAGAAAAGGCCAGCUGUGGGCAAGGAGUGCACGGCCGCCAUCUUGGUUGUGGGAAGUCUCGUCUAGGCUGUCCUCUCUCCAGUUGGGAGGACCAAGAUGGAGCGAAGGAUGAAGUAGCAAGUGCACGUCUUUCUUGGGAGCAGGAUGUUGCGCAAGUUUACACUUCUGACCCCAUCACACUGCUUCCCACUGAGAUGCAAGAGAGGAUUCCUCAUCUUCCAGAUGUGCAGGCUGAAAUAUUUAUGGAUGAAAUUGUCAGAUGCCUAGCAUUUGCUCCAUGAUAAUCUGAGAAACCUCCUCCGUAAAAGCCUCAGAUCUGGGAAACGCGGAUGCAUAUGCCAACUUUUGAGUCUCAGUCUGCGCCUGCGCACGUGACCUCUACACGUCUCCUCUGCGCCUGCGCCGCUCAAGUUAGCGCGAGGCUACUCAGUCGAGGGUGGGACUACGCUUCGCGUUUUGGGAUUGGGCGCUGAAGGCCAAACCGGACGACGCGGAAAUGACGUCACGCCGGGG
rnacentral:lncRNA from 1 species